GUCCCUGUCGAUUAGUGGUCAAAUCAUCUCGUUGUGGUAUUGUGACUACUCCGAGAAGCCGGAAGUUCGAAUCCUCCCUGGGACA